GGCGGAUUAGCUCAGCUGGCUAGAGCGCCCGGUUCAUACCCGGUAGGUCGUUGGUUCAAAUCCGACAUCCGCUACCA
rnacentral:tRNA from 1 species